rnacentral:rRNA from 1 species
GGAGCCUGAGAAACGGCUACCACAUCCAAGGAUGGCAGCAGGCGCGCAAAUUACCCAAUCCCGACACGGGGAGGUAGUGACAAUAAAUAACAAUACGGGGUUCUUUAGGAUCUCGUAAUUGGAAUGAGUACAAUUUAAAUCUCUUAACGAGGAACAAUUGGAGGGCAAGUCUGGUGCCAGCAGCCGCGGUAAUUCCAGCUCCAAUAGCGUAUAUUAAAGUUGUUGCAGUUAAAAAGCUCGUAGUUGAAUUUCGGGGUUAGUAGGUUGGUCAUGCCUCUGGUAUGUACUGGUCUCACUGAUUCCUCCUUCCUUAUGAACCGUAAUGCCAUUAAUUUGGUGUUGCGGGGAAUUUGGACUGUUACUUUGAAAAAAUUAGAGUGUUUAAAGCAAGCUAACGCUUGAAUACAUUAGCAUGGAAUAAUGAAAUAGGACGUUCGAUCUUAUUUUGUUGGUUUCUAGGAUUGACGUAAUGAUUAAUAGGGAUAGUUGGGGGCAUUAGUAUUCAAUUGUCAGAGGUGAAAUUCUUGGAUUUAUUGAAGACUAACUACUGCGAAAGCAUUUGCCAAGGAUGUUUUCAUUAAUCAAGAACGAAAGUUAGGGGAUCGAAGACGAUCAGAUACCGUCGUAGUCUUAACCAUAAACUAUGCCGACUAGGGAUCGGAUGAUGUUAAUUUUUUAAUGACUCAUUCGGCGCCUUACG